rnacentral:rRNA from 1 species
GACGAACGCUGGCGGCGUGCCUAAUACAUGCAAGUCGACCUUAGUGGCGAACGGGUGAGUAACACGUGGGUAAGCUACCCAGCAGAGGGGGAUGACACUUGGAAACAGGUGCUAAUACCGAAUAUUGCUAGUUGGACCCGCGGUGCAUUAGCGAGUUGGUGGGGUAACGGCUCACCAAGGCCACGAUGCAUAGCGGGCCUGAGAGGGUGAUCGGCCACACUGGAACUGAGACACGGCCCAGACUCCUACGGGAGGCAGCAGUAGGGAAUCUUCGGCAAUGGACGAAAGUCUGACCGAGCAACGCCGCGUGAGUGAAGAAGGUUUUCGGAUCGUAAAACUCUGUUGUUAGAGAAGCGGUAUCUAACCAGAAAGCCACGGCUAACUUCGUGCCAGCAGCCGCGGUAAUAC